CCCUUAGAUGUUCUGGGCCGCACGCGCGCUACACUGAUGCAUUCAACGAGUUUCUUCCUGGUCCGAGAGGAAUGGGUAACCUUUUGAAAGUGCAUCGUGAUAGGGAUAGACUAUUGCAAUUAUUGGUCUUCAACGAGGAAUUCCUAGUAGACGUAGUUCAUCAGACUGCAUCGAUUACGUCCCUGCCCUUUGUACACACCGCCCGUCGCACCUACCGAUUGAAUGGUCCGGUGAAAUCUUGGGAUUUUGUUUUGUUUGCAUUUAUUUGUAUCGAGACGAGAGAACUUGAGUAAACCUUACCAUUUAGAGGAAGGUGAAGUCGUAACA
rnacentral:rRNA from 1 species